rnacentral:lncRNA from 1 species
CCUAGACUGAGUUUGAAACUAAAAGUCCCCUGUCCCAUCAGCUCAGGAAGUGACAAUAUUAAAUAAAAGCCUUCCUGACGUGCCUUCUGGAACCUUUCUCAUCAGAGUUCCAAGAACGAUAACUUUCGUUUUUAGAGAACAAGAUAUUAAAAGAGCAGAGUGAUAUCCUUUGUCUGAUUGCUUUAUAUGAAUUUUGCAGUUUUUCCUCAAACUGCACAGCUUAGACUUCUAAUUAUUCUUUUCUCCCAACAGGUCUCAUUUUACCCUACACAAAUCUGAAAGUUCAAACUUCCACUUUAAUGUCUUGUUAGCAAUUUUUAAUAAUUUUGUCAAAUUGACAUUAAAUAUAUACCUAUCUCCUUUUCUUUCUUUGCUUGUAAGUUUACUAGGGGCAGAUUUAAUAAAUACCUGAUGACUUUCUUUUCCCUUUUAUUUUGAGAAUGAGCCUUUGGGAUUAUUGUUCUUUCUUCCAAUAGUAGUUUAUUAAAGAAUAAAUUCUACAUCAACAUUCAUUUUAUAGAUGAGACAGCGACUUAGCAGCAGAUCAUUUUCCCUCUUAUUUUAUGUCAAUAUUAUAAUAUGUUGAUAUUUUCUUGAUGCAGUAACUUCACAUACAUAACAUGAUUACUUUUGAGUUCACCACAAAAUUAUAAUUUGUGAUUUACCAUUAUGAGCAAUAUACAUAAUAUUACAAAAACAGAACUUAUAGUAAUGGUAAAUUAUACCAAAUUUCUUGCAAUUUCUUAGAUAUGCCACAUAGGGUUUUUUUUUAGGCAUCCAAGUCAUUACAAACAAUUUUACUUCAGCCUACAAUGUCCUUUCCUAGCUUCUAAGCCUCUUUUAUCUAUCAAGACCAAAUUGAAAGGUCACUGUCUCUGUAGUCUUCCACAUCUCACUCUCUUCUCUGUAUUGCCAUGGCUCACUAUACUAAGUUUGUACUUGGCAAAGCUGAAUACCAUCAAGGCCAAGUCCUUGAUGUCUAUAUUCUUCCCCAGAACCUAGUACUGAUUUGUACAUUACAUGGACACUUAAUUAAUAUCAUUGGAGGAGUAAGGGAAUGAAUUAAUAAGUAAACCAAACUCAAUACCCCUUCACUGAAAUUAGUUAUUGGUUUCUUGAGAGUUAAAGCAAAGAAGGAAAAAAAAAUAAGGAUGUCUUAUAUAAUCUGUCAGUGUGACCCUGUAGCUGCUAAAUGACAUGAAUACCUAAUGCAUCCUACACAAUGCUGAUACAGACACUUAGUAAAUGUUCCCCCCAUCCAUCCUCCAUUAUGUACACACAAUUGUUUUAGCAGAAUGAAAAUAAGAAGAUCAGUGUUUGAAGUUGUAUCAAAUAUUGUGAUGAGAGAAAUGAGCUUCUUUAUCCUUUGAGAGAUUAACUGGAUUGUCCAGUGGAGGUGGCUGAGCAGGUUGAUAACUACCCAAGUUAGAAGACUAUCUUGGUGCCCAAGACAAAAAAGAAGCUGUAGUACCUCUAAGCACAGAGGAAAUUAAAAUGCCAUGGUCAAUUAGCCAUGUUUGCCUUGGGCACAAGACAGGGAACUGGAGCUUCUUGUCCAAGAUCUAGAAUCUAUUUCCUUAAACUGAAGCAGACCUGGAAUAACUUACUGAGUUAAUGAAGUACACAGAGUGAUUAACAAAAGUGAAGACCUGGGGGCUGGAGUGUAGUCCAAUGAUAGAGUACUCCCCUGGCAGCCUCAAGGCCCUGGGUUCAGUUCCAGAGCUUCUCCCUGGGAUGCCUUAGAAAAUUAUGCUAAUACAGGGGAAAUUCUAGAGAAAGGUAUUG